rnacentral:tRNA from 1 species
AAGGAUUUAAGUUAAAAAAACUAGUAGCCUUCAAAGCUUCAAAUAAGGAUAAUUUUCUUAAGCCUUA